CCUACGGGAGGCAGCAGUGAGGAAUAUUGGUCAAUGGCCGGACGGCUGAACCAGCCAAGCCGCGUGAAGGACGAAGGUGCCAUGCAUUGUAAACUUCUUUUGUCAAGGGACAAAAUCAGGCACGAGAGCCUGACCGAGGGUACUUGAAGAAAAAGCAUCGGCUAACUCCGUGCCAGCAGCCGCGGUACUACGGAGGAUGCGAGCGUUAUCCGGAUUUAUUGGGUUUAAGGGGUGCGUAGGCGGACUGUUAAGUCAGCGGUAAAAGUCCGGGGCUCAACCCCGUCGAGCCGUUGAAACUGGCUGUCUUGAGAUUGCGAGAGGUAUGCGGAAUGCGCGGUGUAGCGGUGAAAUGCUUAGAUAUUGCGCAGAACUCCGAUUGCGAAGGCAGCAUACCGGCGGCGAACUGACGCUGAGGCACGAAAGCGUGGGUAUCGAACAGGAUUAGAUACCCGAGUAGUC
rnacentral:rRNA from 1 species